GUGCUCACUUCAGCAGCAUAUAUACUAAACUGGAACGAUAUAGAGAUUAGCAUGGCCCCUGCGUAAAGAUGACACAAAUUCAUGAAGAAUUCAGACUGGUCUG